GGGGAUGUAGCUCAGUUGGUCAGAGCGCUACGUUCACAUCGUAGAAGUCGCUGGUUCGAGCCCAGUCAUCCCUA
rnacentral:tRNA from 1 species